UUAACACACCAGCCCGGCCCGCCUGGGGCUUUCCCUAUACAAGCAGCCACCCCUGUUUGAGAAACCCUGAUUUAGCAGGUCUUCACUAGACCGCUAAAUUGACCCCCGGUGGAUCGAUUGCUGCAGUGUAGAUGCACGAAGGACUGUGAUGGAGUGUAUUACCACUUUAGGAGCCAGCCAAAAGCCACAAUCAGAACCACCCGCAUAGAAUCAAGGAGGCUCCCUGCUCCACCCUAGGACUGACCUAUUUAAACAGGAAGAGGAAGCUGUCAAGGGAUGAACUUUCCAGACAAUGGAAAAGGCUACAUGUCUGACACUCAUGGCUCAAUCCCGCAAGGUGAUGAAUGCCUCCUGUGCAGUGCUGAAUACCCACAAUUCCCAGGGCUUUCUAAUCCAGUUUCUGUACUCCACCUUGGCAAGUGGAGUAGCACUAAAAUCGAGAAUGCAGAUCCAAGUUACAGGUACUGUGGACGCAAUUCGACGUUAUUGGCCUCCAGGAGCUAUCCCAGAAUGCUCCUUUGUGACCGCUCUGGACAACACUCUCAACUCUGAUGCACUAGCCAGGUAGGCAGUAAAAGCUCCGGGGAACUUUUGAAUUUCAUUUCCUGUUUGGUCACCAUCAGCACAGUCCACCAUCACAGGCGACCAUACAGAGUCCAUCAUCACAAGAGACCACGCAGUCCCGGAUUUGCAGACGAGCUCCAGCAUGGUCCAAACAGGAGGUACUGGAUUUCAUCACACGUUGGGGAGACGAAUCUGUUAUGGC